rnacentral:rRNA from 1 species
UACGUAGGGUGCGAGCGUUAAUCGGAAUUACUGGGCGUAAAGCGUGCGCAGGCGGUUCGCAAAGUCUGAUGUGAAAGCCCCGGGCUCAACCUGGGAACUGCAUUGGAAACUAACGGGCUCGAGUGUGGCAGAGGGGGGUGGAAUUCCACGUGUAGCAGUGAAAUGCGUAGAGAUGUGGAGGAACACCGAUGGCGAAGGCAGCCCCCUGGGCUAACACUGACGCUGAGGAGCGAAAGCCAGGGGAGCAAACGGG